UGUACUACGGUACGCAGGAGACAGGUGGUGCAUGGUUGUCGUCAGCUCGUGUCGUGAGAUGUUGGGUUAAGUCCCGCAACGAGCGCAACCCCUNGCCCCCAGUAGCCAGCAUGUAAAGGUGGGCACUCUGAGGGGACAGCCGGGGAUAACCCGGAGGAAGGCGGGGAUGACGUCAAAUCAUCAUGCCCCUUAUGACCGGGGCUACACACGUGCUACAAUGGCGUAAACAAAGGGAAGCGAGAGUGCGAGCUUAAGCGAACCCCAAAAAUAACGCCUCAGUUCGGAUUGCAGCCUGCAACUCGGCUGCAUGAAGUUGGAAUCGCUAGUAAUCGCGGAUCAGAAUGCCGCGGUGAAUACGUUCCCGGGUCUUGUACACACCGCCCGUCACACCAUGGGAGUCGGGAAUGCCCGAAGUCGGUGACCUAACCGAAAGGGAGGAGCCGCCGAAGGCAGGCCUGGUAACUGGGGUGAAGUCGUAACAAGG
rnacentral:rRNA from 1 species